AGAAAAGUAACGGUGUCGAU
rnacentral:piRNA from 1 species